AAAAUCUCAACUUUUGCUUUACAACGCAUUUGGACAGCAUGGGAUUUUAUACAAUCUUUUAGGCCUCGUAAGGGGGGGUAGUGCUGUCAGUGCACCACCUGCGGUGCACUGUAGGCAUGACUUAAGCUUCUUUGCAGCGUCCCUUCAGCCCCUAGCUGCGACCCCUUUCAUUCCUUUUACUAUACCUCCAUUAAUAUUCUCUUUCUACUAUCUUCUGUUCCUCAACCCUCUUGUAACAAUAAUUUCAUAUUGCAAGGUUUUCCUCCAGUUACACUUGUAACCUUUUGCUCUCAGUUCUAUUAGUCCUGAAUGACCUUAUAGAUCCUAGUGCUUGGUCUUUGGCUUAAAUUGUUUAAUCUAUUUUAUAAUUUUUCAGGGCACUGAUGGCUAUACUUACCCUGCAAGUAAUAUGAGUCCGUCACGCUCGCCUUCUACACCAUCGUACACACCCCUCAGUUCUGCCAGCCGUUCCCUCCCACCAUAUACCUCAGCAGCUUCAGCAACACCUGGCAUGUGGCAGUACAGCUUGGGAACAGAAGGAGCAAAUGCUGGGCCAUCAAUCAGUUCUGGGCAUCCAGGAGCAAGUUCAGGUCAUUCCAGUGGCAGUGCUCCAGGCACUCAACCUGAACUGACAGACAUGCUUCAAAUCCUUGACCAGUCAGGUGGUACUACUUUUGAUGACCUGAAUAUGUUUAAUACAAAUUUUGAAUGAGGACCAUCUAAAGUAGUGAAUACCUUGGUAAAAGCUUGACUAUUCCAAGAGACGUUAUUUUAUUUUUUUAGCAAUUUUUUUUCUGCAGAGGGGUAAGUCUUCAAAUCCAUAUUGGUAUUUCAUUUUUCAUCAACAAGUGCCUCAGUGACAGUGUUCUAAGAUUGGACUAUAGACCCACUAUACCAGAAGUAUGGCAAGUUUUGAAAAGUAGCUGAACUUCAUUUCACUUAUAAAAAUAAGAAUUUUGUUACAGUGUCCAAGGAUUUGCCUCCUUCUGUCAGUGUUUAAACAAUAUUGGAUAUUGGAAUGCCCCUGUGAAUAAUUGAUCAUGGAUGCUUCAACUCAUAUAAUUUUGUGAGUUAUCACAACAAAAGUUUAGAAGAAAAACGGACUUCUUGAUGUAGACAUGGAAUAAGAUGAUAAUACUGGUCAUCAGGAAAAGUGAAUUAUCAGGCUAAUUUCAUAUAAUGUAUAUUGUGAAUUUUAUUUAAAUUUUGUUUAGGUGCUGUUUAUAAAGAGCAAGUUAUUUAAAUUUAGUAUUUAUUAUUUAGGAAUAAUACUGUACCUCAAGCAGUAGAGCUCAAUAUUGUAAUUUACAAUGUUUAUGUUUAAAGAAAUUAUGCUGAUAAUCAAAUUGCAAUAUUUCAGCAUUAUGUUUUUGUUAUGAUUUUAUGAUUACUUAGGGAUGUUCACCACUGUACAGUACUUUCAAGCACGUUUUGAUUUAGUGCUCAAGCUUGUGUUGUUCAGAAAUGGUAUGUAUUCACUGAAAGAGAAACAUGAAAGUGUCUUCUUUUACCAGCUGUCUGAUUAUUAAUGGUCUCAUGUUGUGACGACCUUUAGAUUUCUUGAGAGAUAUAUAUCUGAAACAUUGCAAUGCAAUAUCUUGAAUAUGAAUAUUCAAUCUUUUACUAGAGUGUUUUAAUUUUUUUAGUGUAGUUAUCAUAGAUGUGGGUUUAAUUUUUCUUUUUCAAUGAGGUCUUCCACCUAUUUUGUAAUUUGAGUCUCUUUAUGUUACUAAACAAUUAAUGUGGGUGAAAUACAUCAGACCUUCCAGGAUGGUAGUAAGUUUGAGUUGUUAUUCACUAAUUUAUAGAUAUUAUAUUAAAUGGGGUUCAGGGCACUAACAAAAUUAUUGUACUUUUAACAAAAACAAAAAAAUAUGCAAAUGGAAGACUUGUUAUAUUAGGUCUAGGUAGGUGAUAACUAAUUUCAUUUCUUUUAAUUGUGCAGAAAAAGGUUGAACAUUCAUGGAAAAUUCAUCAUGCAACUUUUUCAUGAGCUUUCAUGCCACUUGUGUAGCUCAGUUUGUACAAUGUAGUGUAUAUUUUGCCUAAUGAUGUCAGUACAAGUGUGUCUCAGUGCUCUGAGAGCAUUCAAUUUUUAUGAGCAAGAGGUUUGUGCAUUUUGGUGUUGAGUCACCAUGAUUAUACUUGAUUAUGGACAUAUCAUUUAUGGCAGAGGGGAGUUCUUGGCUUGUGGCAGAAUUCCACCUGCCCUUUGAAAAAAAAGAUGGUUCUGAUUAACUUUUGAAUCCAAUUACAAUUAGUAGUUUACUCUACAAAUCUGUUAGCAUUCCCUCUUCUUUAAUUUUGUUUAAGUCGUAGAUUUGUAAUUGAGUCAAGUGCCAUGUUUCUUUGGGUCUAGUAUCAGUGCCACAGCUCAAGAGUGUUUUGAACCUUGUUAUUUUAAAACGUUUCAUAGAGAGUUCAUGUUUAUAAUUGGUAUAAAUUAUUUUUUAGGCAUUUCUAACAAGGUUUAAGCUAUGUCCCCUCAACCCAUAGUUAUGUAUAUGAAUAAAGACGUGUGUAGAAUGUUCCACUUGAAAAUGUAUGAGUGUGAAAUGGCAGGCAUGACUGUAUUCUCCAAGAUUAAGUGUACAUUUGAGAUUUAUAUAUAAGGAAGUCAACCAUGUAAAUACAACAGUUGUGUAUGUGUGAAAUUGAAACCAGCACUUUUUUAAAUGAUUUACUUUGUAUUGUAACUGGUAUUUAACCAAGGGUAAAAUUUUGCCAGUGUUACCUGUACAUAGAUUUCACCAAUGAUGUUACAUAUGUAAGAAAAUGCAAAUGCUUGUUGAGGACAAAUUGUAGCGAGUGUUGUGGUGCCGGUGAAGUACUGGAAGUAACAAGGUAAUUGAGACAGUACAGUAUUUAAUUUUUAUACCAUGAUUUGUGCAACAGUGUAUAUGAAGCACAAGUUUGGAAUAUUUUUGUCAGUGGCCAUAUUAAUGUAAGGGAAGACUAUAGUAGGAUCCAUGGUAAAGGGCCCAAAAGUGAGCCAGGGACCACACUACAAAGACAGUCCAUCAGUGCAAUAUUUGCUGCAGUGGCCUGGCUGGUAAAGGGCCAGUGGCUUACUCAACAAUUUGUCACAAGUCUUGAAAUUAUAGUUAUCAGUAUUUGAGGCAUGUAAGUAAAACUCUUUUCCUUUUCUUCUUUCUUUUAAUGCAAUUGUAGAUUCAUCAAUGCGAUGGUUUAAAAUAGGGACACCCGUUUACUACCAAGUAACUAACUUAAGAAAUUUUUUCAAGAGUACCUCCAUUCCAUAUGAUAACCAAGUGCCUAAAUUUGGUUGCAAGGACUUGGAAAUUGUGACAAAUUGAGUAGAGUUAAUUUUUUAACUCUUAAUUCAUCUCAACUCUACUAAAUCCCAAUUAAUGUUUCAACAAUAUUUUAUUUUCCUAACAAAAGCUCAGUUAACAAAUCUUAACUGUGUUAGCAAGAUAACCAUCAAUCAGUAUUCUAUCCAAAGAUGCUGAGUGAGGUGCUCUUAGUCAUCAGUAUUAAAGCUUUGAUAAAUUAGAGGGUUCAAGAAAACGGAGAAGAAACCUAACUUGCUAACAUAGUUGAAGGUUGAAUAUCCACCUGUAAGUGUAAGCAUCAGUCCUUGAGGGUAAGAGUGCAAUGUUUAGAACAGCCUUGUUCAAAAUAUAUAGACAUUGUAGUAUUUAUAAAUUAACUGAAUUUACAUUUGGACCCAGGUGGGAUUAACUGACACAUUUGUCCUGUAUGUCUACUCAUUAUCUAGUACUAUUUCUAAAAGCCUAAAAUUUAUCACAUAAGUAUGUAAAUUAAUGACAUAUAAAUAAACUUAUGUCUAA